rnacentral:lncRNA from 1 species
CAAGGAGUGUGGAGAUAUUGGUAUGGUAUACAGGUGAGAUGUAAGGGUGAAAGAAGAGUGCCCUAUAAGCCAAUCGUAAGUGUGUUGUGAUGGGACUUUCUUUAAAAUUUUUCAACUCAUGAAACGAUAUUUAUUAUUUAAGAUAUUGAUUCAUCAUAUUAGCUACAUCUUAAUAUAUCUAAGAUUAUGAUGAACCUCAAAGAUUAGGAUAAUGAUUUUAGGAGACAUGAAUGGGUCAUGCUAGUGAGACCUAAAAUUCUAAAAUUCUAAUCUUAAAUAUUCUUGAUCGUAGGAGCAUUGAG